AACAAUGCAACAGUACUAUCUAUUUACGAUAAUUUGAUUGCUGACAACAUCACGCUUCUGUUUCUUAUUCUUAUUUAUAUAACUGUAACUUUACCGGGCCGGAAAAGUGACACCGUCACGUCUCAGGGUCGUAUGCCUGGAACAAGAAGGGUCAUAGUACAAUUUCGGCGAUUACAAAAAAGAAGGAGGCGAUCCCUAUCCCUCUUUGUCUUUCCACUUCCCGAACAAAUACUUCGCCAAUUUCUUUUGAGUCUCGGCCCGGUUUUUCCCCACUAA
rnacentral:rRNA from 1 species